GGCAGCGCGGGCCUCGGGGUCCUGGGGCGAGACGGUGAGCGUGGGGGCUGGGCCGGCGCCAGGGGCGCCGUUUCCUUCCCCCACGCAGCUCCGCGCGCCCGGGCCUCCACAUCGUCGCUAACGGAGCGUUGCGGCGCCGGCGACCCCUGGCGAGCCCGGGGCGGGACAGUGGCCAGGCCGGCCUGGGCCCAGCGCGUGGCCUCCGCCGUUUCGGGCUGUGCUGGGUGGAAGAUUAGGCUCCCCGGGCACGCCGUCCCCGCCGAGAGGCCUCAGCUUCGUGGCAGCGCCCUCGUCCUUCCAGCCCGCUCGAGGGUGGCCGCCAGGGCGCGAUGAAGGAAUGUGAGAAAGUGCUUAGCGCUCCAGCCGCUCCGAGGGAAGCCAGGUGGGAGGAGAUCCCGAAACGCUAAGGUUUUGACAGCGUUACAGUGAAUUCUCCGGCUGUAGAGAUUGGAGGAAGUCGGGAGAAAUUCGUCUCUAAGUUGUAAGCUUGUUCUAAAGACGAAGGGGAACUCCCUAGUGCUACAGGCUGUUUCAGGAAGCCAAUUAAUUUUGUACACAUAAUACUUAAUUACCUUCUAAUAAUUGGAGCAGAAGAUGAACCCAACUAAUCCUUUCAGUGGGCAGCAGCCUAGUGCUUUUUCGGCGUCUUCUAGUAAUGUAGGAACACUUCCAUCUAAGCCGCCAUUUCGAUUUGGUCAACCUUCUCUUUUUGGACAAAACAGUACCUUAUCUGGGAAGAGCUCGGGAUUUUCACAGGUAUCCAGCUUUCCAGCGUCUUCUGGAGUAAGUCAUUCCUCUUCAGUGCAAACAUUAGGGUUCACCCAAACCUCAAGUGUUGGACCCUUUUCUGGACUUGAGCACACUUCCACCUUUGUG
rnacentral:lncRNA from 1 species